rnacentral:rRNA from 1 species
GAUCAUGGCUCAGGAUGAACGCUAGCGACAGGCUUAACACAUGCAAGUCGAGGGGCAGCACGGGAGUAGCAAUACAACUGGUGGCGACCGGCGCACGGGUGAGUAACGCGUAUGCAACCUACCUAUCAGAGGGGAAUAACCCGGCGAAAGUCGGACUAAUACCGCAUAAAACAGGGGCACCGCAUGGUGGUAUUUGUUAAAGAGAUUCGCUGAUAGAUGGGCAUGCGUUCCAUUAGGUAGUUGGUGAGGUAACGGCUCACCAAGCCGACGAUGGAUAGGGGAACUGAGAGGUUGGUCCCCCACACUGGUACUGAGACACGGACCAGACUCCUACGGGAGGCAGCAGUGAGGAAUAUUGGUCAAUGGGCGGGAGCCUGAACCAGCCAAGUCGCGUGAAGGAAGAAGGAUCUAUGGUUCGUAAACUUCUUUUGCAGGGGAAUAAAGUGCAGGACGUGUCCUGUUUUGUAUGUACCCUGAGAAUAAGGAUCGGCUAACUCCGUGCCAGCAGCCGC